UUUUAAUCUCACAUAAAUUUUCUCUCCUGAUUCCUGCAAUCUUUUCCCGCAUCAAAUUCCCACCGAGUCCCGUGCCCCGCCAUAAAUUGUGGUAGUUAGAGGUAGGUUGGGACGGGAAAGUUGGUGGAAUAUGAGUUUUAAAAAAAUUAAAACUAAGUGUAUAAAUGUGUUUUUUAUUAAACUCUAAACUUUUACAACGUAUACCAAAACCAUCAACUCGAGACAUACUACAAAGUAAAACGUUGGAGACAGAUCCGCAAAAAAGAUUGAGAACCAGUUUGCAAAAAUUUAAUAAGUUAUGGACUCAAUGCAAUUUCCUUUAAUUUUUUCUUUACAAAACCCUUGUUCCUGUCGUCUUUGUUUACCUAUGAACUAAGCAAAAUUAUUCAUCAUCAUAAGUACUAUCCAUUCUUUCCCCACCUCUCACCACUUCUCUUUAUUCUCCUUCUGAUACACCAUUUUUAAGUUAUAUGUACGCAAAUACAUACACUCUGGCUUCCAAGAAAUUGUAUACCAUGCUGCUAGCUAGGGAUUCAGAUGUAUGCACCAUGGAUGGUAUCAAGAACGAUGAUUUCGACGCGGUUAAGGAAGGCAUAGUCGAGGAGAAGAUCGACAAAUAUUUAAAGCCAAGGGGUUGAAGGAAAGAAAUGAAACUUCUAGGCAAGUCUGAUACUUGGCUUUACUUCCACAGUCUGUUUGUCUCUCUUUUUCUUGGUUUGGUUUGGCCAAAUGGAAAGAAAAAAAUUGAGUUUUAAGGAUUCUUAAUAAUUAGAGAUUUUGUCUUAAUUAAGAUUAAUCCUAAGGUUUACAUUUUCUUACUGUCUUUUGAUCAGCAACUUAACCAAAUUUCUUUCGGCCAUUUGCUUUUCAUUUAUUUAUUUUUGUACUUUUCUCCUAUUUUUUUGGUGUGUUUAUGCAUUUCCACAAUGAAGAGGAAGGGAUAUCCUUGUAAAACUCGAAUAUUGAUUCAAAUAUUUCACCGCAAAAUCUUUAAUUAUUUGCUUCUCAAAUUGUUAAAUUAACCAAGAUUCUUUUUUUUUUUCCCUCAAUAUUUACUUCUUACAUUCUAGAAAAACACUUCACAUUUUUCUUAACCGGAAUAUGGAAACACGCCAACAACGACAGACUUUUCCUGCGCCGGUCGGUUUAACAGGAAUGAAAGUGUUGAUGUUACUAGAUAUUCAUAAAUGAGACUUGUAAUGUUUAAUGUUUAGCUGUAAAGUAAGCGAUUUUAUCAAAAGUUUAAGUGUGUAACUACAAAAGAAACAAAAAAGAAAACUUAGAAUGGUUUUGCCCAUGAUUAUCACAUGCAUGGGUAGAAAAAAUCACCCCUUUUUUUUUUGCCCUUUUUUCUUCAUCAAUUUGAUAAAGGGGUGAAUUCAGAUUGGGAAAAAAAAAAAAAAAAAAAAAAGCUCAUAAUUAGUUAGAAAAAAGCUUUGAAAAAAUAUGCAAUUUUCAGUUAUUUGGAACCCUGCCCGAUUUAAUCAUUU
rnacentral:lncRNA from 1 species